AAUAGGCUGGUACGUUUGUUAUCUGGUCUGGAAAAAAAUAAAAAAACGUGGCCCCAUUGUGACAUUCACCUUCUUCAAGUGUCGUUUCUAGGGUUCAUCAUGUUCUUCCUCUGAUUAGAUUAGCCGACAAUGGAGUUCCAAUGGGGUUAUGUGAGAAAAAUCUCUGGGGCGUGCUGGCGUCUCAUCGUUUCGUCUGGAUUUCGUCACACCCGAACCGUUACGAGAUGCAUUCAAUGGUUGCUCCUAACGACCUUUUAACUCCUUCUCCCCACUCUGUCCACGAUUUAUCAUUCAAUGCAUCUCCUCUUCUUCCAGACGGUGAAUUUGCAGCUACAAAUAGACUGGAGACUCAAUCUUUUCAGUGUCCGAGUAGAUCAGUAAAUUCCACUUGAGUUUCCAAAUCAAAACUGAUAUUCCGUUGCUCCUUUAAUCGGAUCGGAUUUGUCCAUAUAUCAUGUAGUUCAAAAUCUCAUGUGUGUAUCUCCUAUUCAACUUGAGCUUCAGGAAGAUUCUGAUGUUGUUGUUCCAGUACUUGAUUCUUUCUCUAAGUGUGAGAUUAUAGUUUCAUCAUUAAUUUAAGGCGAUUACAUUAGCAAUAUCAUGUAUUAGAACAAUCGAUGCAGAGUACAUGCCAUAUAAUGCACAGGGUUUAUUCUCCACGCGCUAAGAUCAAGCCUUCGUUUUAAGAAUGUACAUGAACGGUGACCCCAUUCGAAAGAGCAUCUAGAAGAUAUUUAAGAAAAAUCUGGUUGAUGUAUGCAUACAAGAAGCCUUCCUAGAUCAAUAUAUCAGUGGUAAUAAAGAAUAUGUGAAAAGGUAGUGCUUAUUAUGAUUGGUUAUCUAAGAAAUAGGCUAUCGAGCUACAUGACCCAAAAGGGAGGUUGGAUAACUCGAAGUUUUAUCCAAUUAGUGAGAUAUCUGAGUUCAAGAAGCAAAUAGAGAUAUCGUAUAAGCGGCAAAUUAACCGCAUCACAUAGAAGGUGAUUUCUGUCAUAAUCUUUACUUCACUGCUAAUUUUGGUCUCACUAAAUUUCCCAUGGUAUAUGGCUACCCUUUAAUUUGUAGUAUUAUAUCACAUUAUAAUGUUUUACGGCAUCCCUAUUCUUUGUGGCUUUUCUUGACAAUGUUCAUGAGCUAAAAGCUAUGUUUGUUACUUAUAUUCAGCUUUAUGUUUUCCUAAUAUUGUUGUCCAAAUGGAGGAGAUAUAGCUGAGAGAAACAGCAAAGAGGCUGGAACAGAAGAGAGGGCAAAUGAAGUUCAGAAAUGGUCGAGGAUGAGAUUAAGCUGAGAGAAAAUCUAGAGGGCCAAAAAGAGACUAAAGGAACUCCAGAAAAAAAAUUGGGAUAAUGCCUCAAUCUGCGAUUGAAAAUCACUCUAUAAGGGUUUUCUUUUAUUCAUAUCAGUAUGUAAGGGUUUUCAUUUAUUCAUAAUUUCAUAUCAGUCUAUGGUUUUUAUCAACAAGAAGAUGGAGUGUGUUUUAAGUGUAGCCCCUCUCUCUAAUUAGAGAUUCACGUGAAUAAAUUCUCUUUUGAUGCUGCA